UUAGCUGAAGCCAAAAUAGAGGCUUCUUAUUGUUAAUAAGGCUAAUGAUUAAAUUAAUCCAGCUAAA
rnacentral:tRNA from 1 species